GCCGGAGUGGUGAAAUUGGUAGACGCACUGGACUCAAAAUCCAGCGGGAGCUUGCUUCCAUGUCGGUUCAAAUCCGACCUCCGGCACCA
rnacentral:tRNA from 1 species